rnacentral:rRNA from 1 species
AUUGAACGCUGGCGGCAGGCCUAACACAUGCAAGUCGAACGGUAACAGGAAGCAGCUUGCUGCUUUGCUGACGAGUGGCGGACGGGUGAGUAAUGUCUGGGAAACUGCCUGAUGGAGGGGGAUAACUACUGGAAACGGUAGCUAAUACCGCAUAACGUCGCAAGACCAAAGAGGGGGACCUUCGGGCCUCUUGCCAUCGGAUGUGCCCCGAUGGGAUUAGCUAGUAGGUGGGGUAAAGGCUCACCUAGGCGACGAUCCCUAGCUGGUCUGAGAGGAUGACCAGCCACACUGGAACUGAGACACGGUCCAGACUCCUACGGGAGGCAGCAGUGGGGAAUAUUGCACAAUGGGCGCAAGCCUGAUGCAGCCAUGCCGCGUGUAUGAAGAAGGCCUUCGGGUUGUAAAGUACUUUCAGCGGGGAGGAAGGGAGUAAAGUUAAUACCUUUGCUCAUUGACGUUACCCGCAGAAGAAGCACCGGCUAACUCCGUG